rnacentral:rRNA from 1 species
UAUGAAUGAAUGUUCUAAAAAUUUUUUUUUGUUUUUUCUUAAUUUAUAUUUUUGUUGAAAAUAACAAUAUAGUUUUCUAAGACUAAAAGACCCUAAAAUUUUUAUAAUUAAAAAAUUAUUUGGUUGGGGAAAUAAUUGAUUUUUAAAUAUUUAGAUAUUUUUUUAUAAAAGAACUUUUAUUAAAGAUGAGUUUGUUAAAAUACUCUAGGG